rnacentral:lncRNA from 1 species
AACAAUAGUAACCGAGCAAACAAUUAUUAAAUAUUCAAAUGAAAAACAUGACUACUUCAAGGCCAGAUGCAAGUGGUUGACGUGUCUUGUCUGGGGAAGAAGGAUUCACCAGGGAGAAGCGCGAAAAGCUCGCAGAAAGAUUCGCCAGAAACACGUCUCUCGCAAGGCUGAAUAAGGGCAAGGGAAAAUUGAUCAUUUUCAUAGUGUGACAUCAUAGUGAAAAUGAUACCAAUGGAAUGGACUCGGCGAGACGAAAAUGAGGGCUUUGGACUCACAUGAUUCGGAGUUACGGGCGCGAAGAUAUGGAUAGCAGAAGAUCGGGGACUAAUCUAUAAAAUAAAUAUCUACAAACCAGCCCCUAACUGAUAAAACAGAAAACACCUUUCUCGGGAAUACGCCUUCUGCAAAUAGAAAACGCACUUCAACCCGAAGAAGAAGCAGAGCACGCUUCCAGAAAGGGAAAACACACUCUGGGAAAAGGCGCCUCCACAUAAAAGGGGUCGGGCCCAGCUGUUGGUGGCACAUACCCCUUCGUCGUGUCUAUGACAUGCGGGGCUCACCCAGUGUCUCUCGCCUCACAUGUCUUCUUCUUCUAGCUCCCGACAGAGGGCGGGGGGCUCGGACGUCAGCGAUUAGGGCUCCCUACCGCUCCCCGGAGCGAGCCUACGAGCGCAGCGGCUUGCCCACGCCUCGCCGCAUCCAAGGGUGGACAUGGAGCUGCCUGGGAUGGCUCCCCAUUGCAGCACCAUGAGGAAGGAGCGGCGACCUUCGGGUGUCGGGUGGAGCGGCGCGUGAAGGCCUCCUCGCCGGAGUUGGAGGGAGGCGGCAACUCGCGGAGGUCUAGGGGUGUCUCAAGGACACAAAGAAGGAGGGAGGGGCUGGAGGCGAGGGGAACCGAGGCGGGGCGACGAUGGCCGUCGGCCAUAGGUGAGGAGG